UACGAAGGGGGGCUAGCGUUGCUCGGAAUUACUGGGCGUAAAGCGCACGUAGGCGGCUUCUUAAGUCGGAGGUGAAAUCCUGGAGCUCAACUCCAGAACUGCCUUCGAUACUGGGAGCUCGAGUCCGGGAGAGGUGAGUGGAACUGCGAGUGUAGAGGUGAAAUUCGUAGAUAUUCGCAAGAACACCAGUGGCGAAGGCGGCUCACUGGCCCGGUACUGACGCUGAGGUGCGAAAGCGUGGGGGAGCAAACAGG
rnacentral:rRNA from 1 species